CACGUGGGUAACCUGCCUGUAAGACUGGGAUAACUCCGGGAAACCGGGGCUAAUACCGGAUGCUUGUUUGAACCGCAUGGUUCAAACAUAAAAGGUGGCUUCGGCUACCACUUACAGAUGGACCCGCGGCGCAUUAGCUAGUUGGUGAGGUAAUGGCUCACCAAGGCAACGAUGCGUAGCCGACCUGAGAGGGUGAUCGGCCACACUGGGACUGAGACACGGCCCAGACUCCUACGGGAGGCAGCAGUAGGGAAUCUUCCGCAAUGGACGAAAGUCUGACGGAGCAACGCCGCGUGAGUGAUGAAGGUUUUCGGAUCGUAAAGCUCUGUUGUUAGGGAAGAACAAGUACCGUUCGAAUAGGGCGGUACCUUGACGGUACCUAACCAGAAAGCCACGGCUAACUACGUGCCAGCAGCCGCGGUAAUACGUAGGUGGCAAGCGUUGUCCGGAAUUAUUGGGCGUAAAGGGCUCGCAGGCGGUUCCUUAAGUCUGAUGUGAAAGCCCCCGGCUCAACCGGGGAGGGUCAUUGGAAACUGGGGAACUUGAGUGCAGAAGAGGAGAG
rnacentral:rRNA from 1 species